AGUGAACGCUGGCGGUAGGCCUAACACAUGCAAGUCGAACGGCAGCACAGGAGAGCUUGCUCUCUGGGUGGCGAGUGGCGGACGGGUGAGGAAUACAUCGGAAUCUACUCUGUCGUGGGGGAUAACGUAGGGAAACUUACGCUAAUACCGCAUACGACCUACGGGUGAAAGCAGGGGACCUUCGGACCUUGCGCGAUUGAAUGAGCCGAUGUCGGAUUAGCUAGUUGGCGGGGUAAAGGCCCACCAAGGCGACGAUCUGUAGCUGGUCUGAGAGGAUGGUCAACCACACUGGAACUGAGACACGGUCCAGACUCCUACGGGAGGCAGCAGUGGGGAAUAUUGGACGAUGGGCGCAAGCCUGAUCCAGCCAUACCGCGUGGGUGAAGAAGGCCUUCGGGUUGUAAAGCCCUUUUGUUGGGAAAGGAAUCCAGCUGGCUAAUACCCGGUUGGGAUGACGGUACCCAAAGAAUAAGCACCGGCUAACUUCGUGCCAGCCGCCGCCGUAA
rnacentral:rRNA from 1 species